rnacentral:tRNA from 1 species
GCCUGGGUGGCUCAGUCAUUUGAGCGUCUGACUUUGGCUCAGGUCAUGAUCCCGUGAUUUGUGGGUUCGAGCCUCACAUUGGGCC